UACGUAGGGGGCUAGCGUUGUCCGGAAUCAUUGGGCGUAAAGAGCGUGUAGGCGGUCCGGUAAGUCCGCUGUGAAAGUCGGGGGCUCAACCCUCGAAUGCCGGUGGAUACUGUCGGGCUAGAGUGCGGAAGAGGCGAGUGGAAUUCCUGGUGUAGCGGUGAAAUGCGCAGAUAUCAGGAGGAACACCGGUGGCGAAGGCGGCUCUCUGGGACGGUACUGGACGCUGAGACGCGAAAGCGUGGGGAGCGAACAGG
rnacentral:rRNA from 1 species